CAGGCAAAUGGAGGAUGCCUUGGGAUGUCGAGGCGAUGAAGGACGUGGCGUAACUGCGAUAAGCUUCGGGUAGGUGUUCAGCAACCUUUGAUCCGGAGAUUUCCGAAUGGGGAAACCUAAUAUUGUGAUAAGCAAUAUUGUUCUGCGAAAGCAGAAAGCGCACCCGCUGAAGUGAAACAUCUCAGUAAGCGGAGGAAAAGAAAAAAAUGUUAUUACUUUUUGUAAUAACGAAUUCCCUAAGUAGCGGCGAGCGAAACGGGAAGAGCCCAAACCGUAAAAAACUCUUGUAGUUUUGUGCGGGGUUGUAAGUAAGAUGUGUCUUAGGGUUCGCCCUAAGCAGAGUCAAUAAAGGUAUUAUGAUUAGCCGAAAAUUCCUGGAAAGGACUGCCAAAGAGAGUAAAAGCCUCGUAGGCGAAAAUCAUAACACGCUCUGAGUAUCUUAACUUGAGUACCAUAGAGAACGAAAACUCUAUGGGAAUCAGGCAGGACUAAACUGCCAAGGCUAAAUACUCGACAUCACCGAUAGUGAACCAGUACCGUGAGGGAAAGGUGAAAAGUAGCCCUGUGAGGGCGGUGAAAUAGAACCUGAAACCAUUUGCCUACAAGGAGUCGGAGGGGGAUGUAAAUCUCCUGACGGCGUGCCUUUUGCAGAAUGAGCCAACGAGUGGCUGUCAAGCCUUAGUCUAAGUUCUUUACAGAACGGAGGCAUAGCGAAAGCGAGUCUUAAUAGGGCGUUGUUCUCUUUUGAGAACGGAGGCUUGGCAGACGACCCGAAGCCAGGCGAGCUUGCCAUGACCAGGUUGAAUCUCGACGAAAGUCGAGAGGAGGACCGAACCCGUGGAUUGUGCAACAUCUUGGGAUGAGUUGUGGUAAGAAGUGAAAAGCUAAUCGAGCCUGGUAAUAGCUGGUUCUCCCCGAAAUAGCUUUAGGGCUAGCGUCUUCGUAUGUUCUGGGGGUAGAGCACUGAAUGGAACUUCGUGGGGAAACCUAGAUUUUCCAAUCAAACUCCGAAUACCGGAACUAAACUUGCGAAGGCAGUCAGACUGUGGGGGCUAAGCUCCAUAGUCAAAAGGGAAACAGCCCAGAUCUUCAUCUAAGGUCCCUAAAUUCGAACUAAGUGCAAGCAAGGAUGUGAAAUUGCUUUGAUAGUUAGGAGGUUAGCUUAGAAGCAGCUAUCCUUUAAAAAGUGCGUAAUAGCUUACUAACUGAGGAGUUUUGCGCCGAAGAUUUACGGGGCUCAAGUUCGGUACCGAAGAUAAGGAUGGCAUCUUUUUAAGAUGUCGUGGUAGGGGAGCAUCCUACUUCCGUUGAAGGUGAGUCGUAAGGCUUGCUGGAGGAUGAGGGAGAGAGAAUGUUGGCAUGAGUAACCACAAUUCCGGUGAAAAACCGGAACACCGUAAACCCAAGGUUUCCUUGGCAAUGGUAAUCAGCCAAGGGUUAGGCGGGCCUAAGGCGUAGCCGAAAGGCGAACCCGAUGGACAGCCGGUUAAUAUUCCGGCCCUUCCUUAAUAAUUUCCUAAGAGGGACGGAGAUUAGUAGCUUAAGUGGAUUAUUGGAUUUCCAUUCAUAUCUUAAGGAGCAAUCCAAGAGAAGUGUGAAGUCGAGAUUUCGGUCUCGGCAACUUAAGUGAGCAAUCUUCCCAGAAAAGCUCUUCAGGAGUUAAUUAUUAGGGGAACCGUACCGCAAACCGACACAGGUGGGUAGGCGUAAGUGUGCCAAGGUGAACGAGUGAAACUUCGUUAAGGAACUCGGCAAUCAAGUGGUCGUAACUUCGGGAUAAGACCUCCCUACAGAAAUGUAGGGCACAGCGAAAGUUCCCCUGGCGACUGUUUAUCAAAAACACAGGUCCCUGCUAAACUCGUAAGAGGAUGUAUAGGGGCUGAGGCCUGACCAGUGCUGGAACGUCAACCUUGCCGGUAUGAUUGUAUUUUUAAUGCGAUCAUGCUGAGUGAGCGAAGCGCCAGUAAACGUCCGCGGUAACUAUAACCGUGUUAAAGUAGCGUAAUCCCUUGUCGGGUAAAUUCCGACCCGCACGAAAGGCUUAACGACUAGGGGGCUGUCUCAACGAAGUGCUCGGUGAAAAUGCAAUACCGGUAAAGAUGCCGGUUACCUGCGGCUAGACGGAAAGACCCCGGGAGCUUUACUAUAGCUAGAUAUUGAUUUUUGGUUUUAAAUGCGAAGUGUAGGUGGGAGACUUUGAAGUUUUGUUUUCGGACGAAAUGGAGUCGCCAAUGAGACACCACCCUUUUUGAAUCUUGAAUCUAACUUGGCCGUACCGCAUUGUACUUAAUGUUUUUAAGUAUAUUGCGGUGCGGCGAGAACAGUGUCUGGUGGGUAGUUUAAGUGGGGCGCUUGCCUCCUAAAGAGUAACGGAGGCGUUUAUAAGGUCAGCUAGCUCCGGAUGGAAAUCGGAGUGAUAGUGUAAAGGCAAAAGCUGGCUUUACUGCGAGACGGAUAUGUCGAGCAGUUGGGAAACCAGAACUUAGUGAACCGACCGCACGUCUAAUAAAAUUCUAUUUAUUUAGUGUUUUGUUAGACAUGGUAUUAGAAGUGCGGGAGAUCAUCAGCUAAAAGCUACCCCGGGGAUAACAGGUUAGUAGGGCCCGCGAGUUCACAUCAACGGCCCUGUUCGACACCUCGAUGUCGGCUCAUCACAUCCUGGGGCUGAAGCAGGUCCCAAGGGUAUGGCUGUUCGCCAUUUAAAGUGGUACGUGAGCUGGGUUCAGACCGUCGUGAGACAGGUUGGUCCCUAUCUACCGUAGGCGCAGAUUCUUGAGGAAAGUUACUCUUAGUACGAGAGGACCGGAGUGAACCAACCUCUGGUGUACCAGUUGUUCCGCCCGGAGCAUUGCUGGGUAGCUAAGUUGGGAAGGGAUAAGCACUGAAAGCAUCUAAGUGCGAAGCCCAAUCCAAGAUUAGGAAUCAUAGACCCCUUAAAGAUUAUGAGGUCGAUAGGCUGCAGGUCUAAGGACAGUAAUGUCUUCAGCCGAGCAGUACUAAUAGGUCAUUGCAGUUUUG
rnacentral:rRNA from 1 species